GAUGAACGCUGGCGGCGUGCCUAAUACAUGCAAGUCGAGCGAACAGAUGAGGAGCUUGCUCUUCUGACGUUAGCGGCGGACGGGUGAGUAACACUUGGAUAACCUACCUAUAAGACUGGGAUAACUUCGGGAACCCGGAGCUAAUACCGGAUAAUAUAUUUAACCGCAUGGUUCAAUAGUGAAAGACGGUUUUGCUGUCACUUAUAGAUGGAUCCGCGCCGCAUUAGCUAGUUGGUAAGGUAACGGCUUACCAAGGCAACGAUGCGUAGCCGACCUGAGAGGGUGAUCGGCCACACUGGAACUGAGACACGGUCCAGACUCCUACGGGAGGCAGCAGUAGGGAAUCUUCCGCAAUGGGCGAAAGCCUGACGGAGCAACGCCGCGUGAGUGAUGAAGGUCUUCGGAUCGUAAAACUCUGUUAUUAGGGAAGAACAAAUGUGUAAGUAACUAUGCACGUCUUGACGGUACCUAAUCAGAAAGCCACGGCUAACUACGUG
rnacentral:rRNA from 1 species